UACAGAGGUCUCAAGCGUUGUUCGGAUUCAUUGGGCGUAAAGGGUGCGUAGGUGGCGCGCUAAGUCAGGUGUGAAAUUUCGGAGCUUAACUCCGAAACUGCAUUUGAUACUGGCGUGCUUGAGGACUGGAGAGGAGACUGGAAUUCAUGGUGUAGCAGUGAAAUGCGUAGAGAUCAUGAGGAAGACCAGUGGCGAAGGCGGGUCUCUGGACAGUUCCUGACGCUGAGGCACGAAGGCCAGGGGAGCAAACGGG
rnacentral:rRNA from 1 species